AUUGAACGCUGGCGGCAGGCCUAACACAUGCAAGUCGAGCGGAGCGGCGGACGGGCGAGUAAUGCCUAGGUAUCUGCCUGGUCGUUGGGGAUAACGUCCGGAAACGGGCGCUAAUACCGCAUACUUUUAGAUGAGCCUAGGUCGGAUUAGCUAGUUGGUGGGGUAAAGGCCUACCAAGGCGACGUACCGUAACUGGUCUGAGUGGAUGAUCAGUCACACUGGAAAUGAGACACGGUCCAGACUCCUACGGGAGGCAGCAGUGGGGAAUAUUGGACAAUGGGCGAAAGCCUGAUCCAGCCAUGCCGCGUGUGUGAAGAAGGUCUUCGGAUUGUAAAGCACUUUAAGUUGGGAGGCGUUACCAACAGAAUAAGCACCGGCUAACUACGUGCCAGCCGCCGCGGUAAUUC
rnacentral:rRNA from 1 species